rnacentral:rRNA from 1 species
UAUUAUUUUAGCGGCGGACGGGUGAGUAACGUGUGGGUAACCUGCCUUUUACUGGGGAAUAAUCACUGGAAACGGUGACUAAUACCGCAUACGGUUCUUGGAAGGCAUCUUCUAGGAAAGAAAGGAUUUAUUCGGUAAAAGAUGGGCCCGCAUCUGAUUAGCUAGUUGGUGAGAUAACAGCCCACCAAGGCGACGAUCAGUAGCCGACCUGAGAGGGUGACCGGCCACAUUGGGACUGAGACACGGCCCAAACUCCUACGGGAGGCAGCAG